GAAAUGCGAUAAGUAAUGUGAAUUGCAGAAUUCCGUGAAUCAUCGAAUCUUUGAACGCACAUUGCGCCCUCUGGUAUUCCGGGGGCAUGCCUGUCCGAGCGUCAUUGCGAACCCCUCAAGCACGGCUUGUGUGAUGGGCCCUCCCGCGUCUUGGUCGUCAAGACGGGCCCGAAAUGCAGUGGCGGCUUCGCGGUUAUCCGAUCAGCCAGAGCGUAUGGGGACUCUCUCUCUUGUCACACGCCCGCGGCGUGGACCGACGCCUGUCGACCUUUAUUCAUCUUCUCUCGGUUGACCUCGGAUCAGGUAGGGAUACCCGCUGAACUUAAGC
rnacentral:misc_RNA from 1 species